rnacentral:rRNA from 1 species
CGCGUAGGCGGUCUGGCUAGUCAGGCGUGAAAUUCCCGGGCUUAACCUGGGGGCUGCGCUUGAUACAUCCAGGCUUGAGUGAGGAAGAGGGUCGUGGAAUUCCCAGUGUAGAGGUGAAAUUCGUAGAUAUUGGGAAGAACACCGGUGGCGAAGGCGGCGACCUGGUCCUUGACUGACGCUGAGGCGCGAAAGCGUGGGGAGCAAACAGGAUUAGAUACCCUGGUAGUCCACGCCGUAAACGAUGUGUGCUGGAUGUUGGGCAACCUAGUUGCGCAGUGUCGUAGCUAACGCGGUAAGCACACCGCCUGGGGAGUACGGCCGCAAGGUUGAA